UGGCGGCGUGCCUAACACAUGCAAGUCGAGCGAGGAGAUCCUUCGGGAUGAUCCUAGCGGCGGACGGGUGAGUAACACGUGGGCAACCUGCCUCAUAGAGAGGAAUAGCCUUCCGAAAGGGAGAUUAAUACCUCAUAACAUUGCAGUUUCGCAUGGAACAGCAAUUAAAGGAGUAAUCCGCUAUGAGAUGGGCCCGCGGCGCAUUAGCUAGUUGGUGAGGUAACGGCUCACCAAGGCGACGAUGCGUAGCCGACCUGAGAGGGUGAUCGGCCACAUUGGGACUGGGACACGGCCCAGACUCCUACGGGAGGCAGCAGUGGGGAAUAUUGCACAAUGGGGGAAACCCUGAUGCAAGCAACGCCGCGUGAGUGAUGACGGCCUUCGGGUUGUAAAGCUCUGUCUUCAGGGACGAUAAUGACGGUACCUGAGGAGGAAGCCACGGCUAACUACGUGCCAGCCGCAGC
rnacentral:rRNA from 1 species